rnacentral:rRNA from 1 species
CCUANGGGAGGCAGCAGUGGGGAAUAUUGGACAAUGGGCGAAAGCCUGAUCCAGCCAUGCCGCGUGAGUGAUGAAGGCUCUAGGGUUGUAAAGCUCUUUCGCCGGGGAAGAUAAUGACGGUACCCGGAGAAGAAGCCUCGGCUAACUCCGUGCCAGCAGCCGCGGUAAGACGGAGGAGGCUAGCGUUGUUCGGAAUUACUGGGCGUAAAGCGCAUGAAGGUGGUGAAGUAAGCCGGAUGUGAAAUCCCAGGGCUUAACCCUGGAAGUGCAUCCGGGACUGCUUUGCUCGAGUCCGGAAGAGGAGGGCGGAAUGCCCAGUGUAGAGGUGAAAUUCGUAGAUAUUGGGAAGAACACCAGUGGCGAAGGCGGCUCUCUGGUCCGGUACUGACACUUUAGUGCGAAAGCGUGGGGAGCAAACAGGAUUAGAUACCCUGNUANUC